rnacentral:tRNA from 1 species
GGAUUUUUGUGGCUCGAAGGUAGAGCAUUCGCCUAGCAUGUGUGAGGUCCUGGGUUCGCUCCUCAGCACCA